AUCAUUACAAGCUGUGAGUGCAGCAACUGAGUCAAAUAUCUCAGAUGAUUAUAAAGAUUAUCUUGAUGUAUUCUGAGAAGACAUAUCUGAUGCAGAACAUGCAUCUCAUGAUCAUGUCAUAGAGCUCAAACCUAGCAAGGAAUCCUCAUACCAAUCAAUAUAUAACUUAUCAUCUCAAGAACUCUCUGUCCUCUGAGAAUAUAUUGAAAAGAUGUUAGAGAAGAAUUGAAUACAUCUGUUCAAGAGCCCAGCCAGCACAUCAGUGUUAUUCAUGCUGAAGAAAGAUGGAACUCUGUGUCUUUGUGUGGAUUAUCAAGGAUUGAAUGAAAUAAUGAUCAAAAAUCGAUAUCCACUGCCCUUGAUAAGUGAAAUACUUGAUAGGUUAGCAGGUGCCAAAAUAUAUACACAACUGAAUCUUAGAGACAUGUAUCAUAGAAUUCACAUAUGAGUGAAGGA
rnacentral:sRNA from 1 species